UUAAAGUUAAAAAAGCAUUAAACAAAACAAUUCAAAACCUAGCUACUACACAUUUACGAAAAUAUAUGAUACACAAAGGAUUUUUGGGUGUAAACAUCUUUUUUAUUUUAUAUACACCAAACUUCGUAUAUAUUCACACAUAAAGAAGGAAAAAGAAUUAAUGCAAGGGUGUGGCCAAUUACGUACCGUCGUCAUAUCCUACUCAUCCGUUACGUUCUCAAAUCUCUCUCUCUCCCUGCUCUCCUAAUUAUUUCUGCCAGCGACCAUAUUUCAUUUUCAAUUGUGUGUUUAAAAAGCCGAGAAUCGCAAUCCUUUUUCCUCCACUCUUAAUUCAUUUCCAAUUCACAAAAAUAUGUCGAAGAAGCUCGCAGCUCUCUUCACCAUUAUUGCGGCACUUGUAACAAUAAUGUCCCUCAUCGUCAUACCCUCCUCCGAAGCAGCUCGUCCUAUCCCUUCAUUAUUCAAACCCCAAAAUCCAAUCGUUUCUCGAGAGCUCGUCGCUGAUCAUAAUAACGAGGGAAUAUCAUGUGAAGGACUAGGGAAAGAAGAUUGCCUGAUUAAAAGAACCUUACAGGCUCAUAUUGAUUACGUUUAUACUUGUGAUCCAACCAAGCCAUGAACUAUACUGCUCAUCUUUUAUUUUAUUUUCUUUGAUCAUUAGUUACAGUUUCAUAAUUAAAUAAGGUAAUUUACUCA